GCGGCGGGGCGGGCGGUACCUGGGCUCGGGCAGGGUGAUCUUCUUGCUGGCCCUGGCCGCCGGGGUGCUCUUGCUCUUCUCCAUCGCCAUCAGGUAGCUGACAUCGGCCAGCACCGCCUCCAGAAGGGGAACACCAGAGCCAACACCGGGCACAUGGGGCGAGGAGUGCGAUGGCUGCCUGCAAACAUCAGCACCCAGUCAAACGCGUAUCUUUAGAAUUAAUUUCCUCAUAGUUUAUUAAAACGUAUUCAUAAGAAAAACAGGAUACAAACAAA